AUACGGCCGUACCAUGCUGAAUAUACCGGUUCUCGUUAGAUCACCGAAGUCAAGCAUCAUUGGGCGCGGUCAGUACUUGGGUGGGUGACCACCUGGUGGGAACACCGCGUGUCGUU
rnacentral:rRNA from 1 species